rnacentral:miRNA from 1 species
AAGAGAGGAGCAGUGGUGCUGUGG